GCGCACUAUAAUUCAGUGGUAGAACUCCUCAUCUCAGCUUACUUGCGACAGUGGGGAGGUCGGAGGUUCGAUUCCUCCUAGUGGCA